GAAAAUGGCUAUUGGGUCUUCAUCUACUCUGCUUCGACCAUAAUCCCGAAGACCAAUAGGGCAGAAUACCCUUCUCAGUUAAUCAAUCAGGAAAAUGGCUGUUGGGUCUGCUUCGAUCCCGAGGAAGGCCUCGAGACAUGUCUUUAAAGUGUAGACUUCUUUCUAACUUGAUCGGUCUGUCAGUCUGACCACUUCGGUAUAAGAUUCUAAGCAGUAUGCCUUCUACCCUUUUUCGACCAUGGUCAGGUAUUCUCUGGGCAGCAAAAAUCAAUCUUCUUCCAGCAUCAUCCUGAGCUCUCGAACGAGAACCCUCAGAAACCUGCUUGGAAGCAGUACCAG
rnacentral:lncRNA from 1 species